UACGGGGGGGGCAAGCGUUGUUCGGAAUUACUGGGCGUAAAGGGCUCGUAGGCGGCCCACUAAGUCAGAUGUGAAAUCCCCAGGCUCAACCUGGGAACUGCAUCUGAUACUGGUGGGCUUGAAUUCGGGAGAGGGAUGCAGAAUUCCAGGUGUAGCGGUGAAAUGCGUAGAUAUCUGGAGGAAUACCGGUGGCGAAGGCGGCAUCCUGGACCGACAUUGACGCUGAGGAGCGAAAGCUAGGGGAGCAAACGGG
rnacentral:rRNA from 2 species